rnacentral:rRNA from 1 species
CCCAAACCAAUAAAGUUUUCUUUAUUGGGGUUGCGGACAUAUCAUAACGAAGAGGUAUCGUAAUUGAAGAGGUUUGGAAAGACCCACCACAGAAGGUAAUAGUCCUGUAUGUUAAACGAGAAGACUUUAGAUAUGAUCCAGAGUACCACGGGACACGUGAAACCCUGUGGGAAGCAGGAGGGACCACCCUCCAAGGCUAAAUACUACCUAGUGACCGAUAGCGUAUAGUACCGUGAGGGAAAGGUGAAAAGAACCCCGGGAGGGGAGUGAAAUAGAACCUGAAACCCUGCACUUACAAGCUGUGGAAGCACAUUUCUUGUGUGACCGCGUACUUUUUGUAGAACGGGCCAACGAGUUACGUUAAGUAGCAAGGUUAAGCACUUAAGGUGCGGAGCCGUAGCGAAAGCGAGUUUUAACUGAGCGUUCAGUUACUUGACGUAGACCCGAAACCGGGCGACCUACCCAUGAGCAGGAUGAAGCGAAAGUAAAAUUUCGUGGAGGUCCGAACCCACGAGCGUUGAAAAGCUCGGGGAUGACUUGUGGGUAGCGGUGAAAUUCCAAUCGAGCCCGGAGAUAGCUGGUUCUCCCCGAAAUAGCUUUAGGGCUAGCCUCAAGGUGAGAGAUACGGAGGUAGAGCACUGAAUGUACUAGGGGGUAUUGCACCUACCGAAGACUAUCAAACUCCGAAUGCCGUCAUCUUAUACUUGGGAGUCAGACUGUGGGUGAUAAGAUUCAUAGUCGAAAGGGCAACAGCCCAGAUCGUCAGCUAAGGUCCCUAAAUGUAAGUUAAGUGGUAAAGGAUGUGGGAUUGCACAGACAACCAGGAUGUUGGCUUAGAAGCAGCCACUCAUUCAAAGAGUGCGUAAUAGCUCACUGGUCGAGUGAUCCUGCGCCGAAGAUUUCCGGGGCUAAAACUUACUACCGAAGCUACGGCAUCAGUAAUGAUGGGUAGGGGAGCUUCCCAUACGGGUUGAAGCAUGACCGUAAGGACAUGUGGACAGUAUGGGAGUGAGAAUGUUGGCAUGAGUAGCGAGAUGUGGGUGAGAA